GUGAGGAAUAUUGGUCAAUGGGCGGAAGCCUGAACCAGCCAAGUCGCGUGAGGGAUGACGGUCCUACGGAUUGUAAACCUCUUUUGCCGGGGAGCAAGUCGCGGUACGCGUACCGCGACGGAGAGUACCCGGAGAAAAAGCAUCGGCUAACUCCGUGCCAGCAGCCGCGGUAAUACGGAGGAUGCGAGCGUUAUCCGGAUUUAUUGGGUUUAAAGGGUGCGUAGGCGGGCCCUUAAGUCAGCGGUAAAAAUGCGGCGCUCAACGCCGUCGAGCCGUUGAAACUGGGAGCCUAGAGUGGGCGAGAAGUAUGCGGAAUGCGUGGUGUAGCGGUGAAAUGCAUAGAUAUCACGCAGAACUCCGAUUGCGAAGGCAGCAUACCGGCGCCCAACUGACGCUGAGGCACGAAAGCGUGGGUAUCGAACAGGA
rnacentral:rRNA from 1 species